ACCGAGUUCUCUGAGGGCCCUACUCUGGGGUGCUAGUUCCAUUAGGACACUAAAAAAAGGCCCAGAGCUAAGGGUGGACCUUAGUGUCCAGAUCCUUCCCAGCACCCAGGUCCCAAGGCAGCCUGAAGAGCAGGAAUCAUAGGCUACAAGGGCCCUCAGCAGUCAGCUGUCUGCCGGGUUGCCAGCGGAGGGCUUAAUCCGUGGCUUAGUUCUCUGAGGCUUCUAAGACCAAACCACCGAUCGCAGACAAAGGGCUGCCAACAAGAACAAGGGGGGCCUCUCCCAAACUUCCUGCAGGGUCCUCUGUGCCCAGGUCUGCCUGCCGAUCCCUGGAGGUCUCACCUGUCCCAGGAGCGGGGCUGGGGCUCCAGGUUGAGGGCUGGGGGGGCUGAUGCUUUGGAGCUGAAAGCCCAAGUCACGGAGUGUUCCCUCUAAACUACUGAGUCAGAAAAUUACUGUCCUGUCUGCCUACCUUCUCCCAGAGACACUUCCUAGCACUACACAGGUGUCUGUGAAAGAGCUCCUUUUUACAGCAGCAUCUGAAGAGACUCCCCCUCUCAGCCUUGCCUGCCCCCAGUACUCUCAUACCUGAGCACCUGCAGCAGAUGGGGCUGUUUACGUCCUAACCUGGGGAUCCGGGGGCACUGUCCUUUGGGCCUCCUCCCAACCUUUGUCCCUCUCCUCUGCUUUUCAUGUAAUGGCCAAGACAUCCCAACACGUCACCCUCCCAGGCACUACCCAGUGGAGGGCCCCAGACCCACUUACCCCCUUACAGAAAGAACAUGCCAUCCAUCUGUGCUUUGCUCACUCUAUGUAUCCAGGUGAAGGGUUUCUUAGGCUUGGGGGCCUCUACCUGGGGGGGGGAGGGCACUGGGGGCAGACAGCGCAGUUUUCUUUAUUCGUUCCCUCAAGCCCUAACAAUGCAGGCAAUAAAUGACCUGAUAAGGGGCACGUGAUGCCAGCGAAGAGGAUGGUUCCAGAAGGCACAGAAGUCUGUGUGCAGAAGAGGGCAUGGAGUGAGGAACAACCUGACCUGAAGCAACUGUCCAGGCCUGGAGUAGCGCCUGAAGCUAGAAGGCACCAGAUGAAGGCAAGAGGGUCCAGCCCAGGUCUUUGGCUCAGGCCAGGACACCUGGGGCCUUCCUUGUCUGGGCAUACAGAAGGUGUAGGGACAGAUUAUAAAAUCCUUGACAGCAAGUAAAAGCUAAGUACAGUUUGCUGAAUGAAUACAAGAAAUGAGGUCACAGAAAGAGCAAAGCCCACAAAACAACAGCAACAGCUUUGGGAUGCUGCCAGCAGGCAAAGCAUUGAGAGCGGAAAGCCUAAUCCUAUGCCCUCGUGAAAAGUAUCACACUGCAGGAAACCCAUAACUCAGCAGAUAGGGCAGUUUCCUGCAGAAAAGCCCCUCGUGAGAAUGGGCUGAGUGACAAGAUUUAGUGCAGGCAGAGAGCCCACCUUCAACCAACUACAGUCAGAGGAGAGAAAUUUUUAACCUUUUGCUAAAGUCAUUAAUGGAACUGUACUACCUGCUACCUAAGAACUAAAACGGUUGGUCAGAACUUCCCACACUCCCUCUCCCACUCUGACCCUGUGCUAACCGGCAAUGCAGUACCCAGAAAGCAAGGAGAAAACCACUUAGAGAUCACUUUUCUAUUUUCAUGGAUUAAAA